ACGCGCGGAACCUUACCAGCGUUUGACAUGGUAGGACGACUGGCAGAGAUGCCUUUCUUCCCUUCGGGGACCUACACACAGGUGCUGCAUGGCUGUCGUCAGCUCGUGUCGUGAGAUGUUGGGUUAAGUCCCCGCAACGAGCGCAACCCUCGCCUUUAGUUACCAUCAUUCAGUUGGGUACUCUAAAGGAACCGCCGGUGAUAAGCCGGAGGAAGGUGGGGAUGACGUCAAGUCCUCAUGGCCCUUACGC
rnacentral:rRNA from 1 species